rnacentral:tRNA from 1 species
AUAAAUUGAUUUUAGCGCCUGGAAAGCGUGUAUAGGGGCAACUCUAUCAGGGGUUCAAAUCCCCUUCUCUCCGCCA